rnacentral:sRNA from 1 species
GGCCGGAGGAAGGCAGCCAAGAGGAAGUGGGCGGCACAGACCAUCCGGCGGCUCAUCCGAGGCUUCAUCCUGCGCCACGCCCCCCGCUGCCCCGAGAACGCCUUCUUCCUGGACCAUGUGCGCACCUCUUUUUUGCUAAACCUGAGGCGGCAGCUGCCCCGGAAUGUCCUGGACACCUCGUGGCCCACGCCCCCACCUGCCCUGCGUGAGGCCUCAGAGCUUCUGCGGGAGUUGUGCAUAAAGAACAUGGUGUGGAAAUACUGCCGGAGUAUCAGCCCUGAGUGGAAGCAGCAGGUACGGAGAGCGGGGCUGGGUGAGGAUGAGGAAGUGGAGUCAGGGAGUCGCAAGCAUUGCUCAAAGGGUGUCCGCCUAGAGGGGCAUUUACCCCGGUCUACUGUAUUUACCGCGGUCUACCAUAUUUACCCCGAUCUACCGUAUUUACCCUGGUCUACUCUAUUUACCCCAGUCUACCGUAUUUACCCCGCCUACCGUAUUUAUCUCGGUCUACCGUAUUUAACCCCACCUACCGUAUUUACCCCACCUACCGUAUUUACCCCGUAUUUACCCCACCUACCGUAUUUACCCCGUAUUUACCCCACCUACCGUAUUUACCCCAGUCUACUCUAUUUACCCCAAUCUACUGUAUUUACCCCGUCUAUAGUAUUGACCCCGGUCUACCGUAUUUUGCCCUGCCUACCAUAUUUACCCCGCCUACCGUAUUUACCCCGGUCUACUCUGUUUACCCGGGUCUGCUCUAUUUACCCUAGUCUACCGUAUUUACCCCGGUCUACCGGUGACCUCAGUUGGAUGCCAGGCCCUGCUGGGCCUCGUGUAGGAAGUGGACACUGGAGUACAUCUGGGGUGGCCAGUAGGGUUCAUAUCGUGAGCCAACUGCCCUUGAUUGGUAGAGACUGCUCAGAACCCUGUGUUGAAAAGUCUGCGUCUUCACUCGGGUCGAUUGGUGAUAUCUGCCCUGAUUACAGGCAUUGGUUGAUGUGCCGUGUUUUUGCCAACUCAGUAUUGGAUGAUGCUAAAGGACCCACCCAGUAACCUUGAGUAUUAGUGAUCUGCUGCUUACAAGACCCCAAGCUGG